rnacentral:rRNA from 1 species
GACGAACGCUGGCGGCGUGCCUAAUACAUGCAAGUCGAACGCUUCUUUUUCCACCGGAGCUUGCUCCACCGGAAAAAGAGGAGUGGCGAACGGGUGAGUAACACGUGGGUAACCUGCCCAUCAGAAGGGGAUAACACUUGGAAACGAGGUGCUAAUACCGUAUAACAAUCGAAACCGCAUGGUUUUGAUUUUGAAAGGGCGCUUUCGGGUGUCCGCUGAUGGAUGGACCCGCGGUGCAUUAGCUAGUUGGUGAGGUAACGGCUCACCAAGGCGACGAUGCAUAGCCGACCUGAGAGGGUGAUCGGGCCACAUUGGGACUGAGACACGGCCCAAACUCUUACGGGAGCAGGCAGUAGGGAAUCUUCGGGCAAUGGACAAAGUCUGGACCGAGCAACGCCGCGUGAGUGAAG